CCUAAAAGAACAAGGUAUGUGAUAAAAUCAUCCUGCUUGGGUAAAUUUGUCGUCACACCACAACUGAAGCUGAGUUGGAAUGCUUAGAACAGAGCCACGUUUGAAAGUGUGCAACAUCAUAUAAUUUUGAACUGAAGCUUCCUUGUUGUGCGUUAACAAACAUGUUAUAUUGUUGAUUUGCAAGAUCAUAGGCUUUCACAUAUCAUGUUUCAACUUUGCAGGUCAUAAUGUUGUACCGAGGGCAUAAAGUUGUAUCCAGGAUGGGCUUGCACCUGGUUGAGGUCCAUCGGAAAUAGGACCAUCCUGCUUGCAAGAUCAUGGACUUCCACAAAGACAAGUAUAACAAGGAUGUCAAGUAGAAAGAGCACGUAAAAACCAAGGUAUGUGUGUUGUGCCAUCACUACUGACGCUGAGUUGAGAUGCUUAGAGCACAGCAAAUAUAUUCCAUGUGCUGGCUAUUUUAUUUGUAAAGAAUUUUGUUUUUCUCAAGGGAAGGGAGGAGUAAAUGAGAUGGUGGGAUUGACUCUAACCUGUCAAUCUGCUGGUUUUGAUGGCUGUAGUAUGUGUUGUUCAGUUGCAACAUAAGACAUGGUUGUGCAUGUUUUGAUCCUUGUUGUGGAAUCGAAACAACUCCUUGUAUAGUUUAUUUGAUUAUUACUGCCAGUAUUCUGCAUGUGAGCCAUGGUGUUGAUUUCAAGUGGAAGAACCGCUGUCCGUUGUUUUCAGGGUCCAAGAAGUAUGUUUUCUUGUAUUUAGUUUUUGUUUUGACCUUGUGAAACUUGCUACCUAUGGAUGAAACUGUGUAAUAUUGAUGAAACUAUGUAUAUGUACGGAUGAAACUUGCUACUAUUGGUAA